AGAGUGAACGCUGGCGGUAGGCCUAACACAUGCAAGUCGAACGGCAGCACAGGAGAGCUUGCUCUCUGGGUGGCGAGUGGCGGACGGGUGAGGAAUACAUCGGAAUCUACCUUUUCGUGGGGGGAUAACGUAGGGAAACUUACGCUAAUACCGCAUAAGACCUUCGGGUGAAAGCCGGGGACCUUCGGGCCUGGCGCGGAUAGAUGAGCCGAUGUCGGAUUAGCUUGUUGGCGGGGUAAAGGCCCACCAAGGCGACGAUCCGUAGCUGGUCUGAGAGGAUGAUCAGCCACACUGGAACUGAGACACGGUCCAGACUCCGUACGGGAGCAGCGAGUGGGGAAUAGUUGGACAAGUGGGCGCAAGCCUGAUCCAGCCAUACCGCGUGGGUGAAGAAGGCCUUCGGUUGUAAAGUCCCGUUUUGUUAGGAAAGAAAGUCCUAGUACCGGUUAAUAACCAGGUAGGAUAGACGGUAACCAAAGAAUAAGCACCGACUAACUACG
rnacentral:rRNA from 1 species